rnacentral:tRNA from 1 species
CAGGAUGUAAUUUAAAAAGAAUGCUGGCUUUGGGAGUCAGUUGCAGAGGUUAAAGUCCUUUCGUCCUGA